AUGCCAGGGGAAAACUAUCUGGCUAGGGGAAAUUUAUUUGGCUUGGGGAAAUUGAUUUGGCUUGGGGAAAUUGAUUUGGAAGAAAGCCCAUUCCGGAUGCCGAAUUAUGCCAGCGAGACUUCAGGCGCUGCUAUCGUUCAUUCCAAGACUUCUCCCUCCUGGACUGGAAGUGGGAAAGUCUUUUGGCAGUCGUUGCUGGUGACACCUUAUAUGAGGGCUCCUGAGAUUAUUCUUGAGGUAAGAACACUGAGAAACGGGGGAAGAAUGGUACGGGGUGGAGGAGACCAAAAGCCCUGCAGAGGAUUGUCCUUACACUUGUCCUCACAUCCCAGCUUGCCUUACCUAUGGUCUUCUUGCAAGGCCCUAGUCCCCUCUUGUGUAUCCCUGCUGAGAAUUUCUUCUCUGCCAGUCCGUCACUUCUGUGCUUGCUUGUCUUCCCAGCCAUUGUGGAACUGUCAGGCUGGCAUUGAAGGGGAACCCGUAAGGUGCCACGGGAGAUUUGGGGUGCGAGAUCGCUGGGGCUCUCAGUGGACCCAGGUGGGCACAGAGGGCGUGCGCUGCAGGAGGGCCCCAUGUUGUGUUUGCCAGCGUAUCGUGUCACUGCUCCCAAGCUACCUAACAAAUCGGAGCCCCGGCUGGUGCUGGUGCAAAGAGGUGGGAAUUGAUGAGGGGGAGCGAUUGCUUCCCCUUGCAGGAAAGGCUCGUGCAGGCCAGCCCUUCUUUGUCCUGGCAGGUGCCCCUCAACCACUGCAGCCCCUCCUUGUUUUUGGCAAGUUGCUCCGCAAAAGAAGGAGCCUGAGAGCUUCUGCGAGUUGUGCACCCAGCUCACUGUCGUGCACUUAUGAAUGUGCUUCGGAGCAGAGCUGAUGGGCCAAUACAACUCCAGAGCCUCUGAUGCUGGAGCAGGAAUUCCAGCCAGGACUCUCUUUCACACGUGAACACUGUUCCUUCUUCUCUUUCUAGCCUGACAAUCAUCCAGGAAACUGCUGGCCCUUCCCAGGAAGCCAAGGGGAGGCUUGGGGAAAUUGAUUUGGCUUGGGGAAAUCUAUUUGGCUUAUCUCAAAAUAAAUUAAACAAAUAAAAAAUUAAACA
rnacentral:lncRNA from 1 species